UACGAAGGGGGCUAGCGUUGCUCGGAAUCACUGGGCGUAAAGGGUGCGUAGGCGGGUCUUUAAGUCAGGGGGGAAAUCCUGGAGCUCAACUCCAGAACUGCCUUUGAUACUGAGGAUCUUGAGUUCGGGAGAGGUGAGUGGAACUGCGAGUGUAGAGGUGAAAUUCGUAGAUAUUCGCAAGAACACCAGUGGCGAAGGCGGCUCACUGGCCCGAUACUGACGCUGAGGUGCGAAAGCGUGGGGAGCAAACAGG
rnacentral:rRNA from 1 species